CCGGCGCACGGGUGAGUAACACGUGAGUAACCUGCCUUUAAGACUGGGAUAACGCUUCGAAAGAGGUGCUAAUACUGGAUAUGAAAUGGUUCGCAUGGACUAUUUGGAAAGCGGCGUUUGCCGCACUUAGAGAUGGACUCGCGUCCUAUUAGCUAGUUGGUGAGGUAACGGCUCACCAAGGCGACGAUAGGUAGCCGGCCUGAGAGGGUGGUCGGCCACACUGGGACUGAGACACGGCCCAG
rnacentral:rRNA from 1 species